AGCUACAGGCUUAACACAUGCAAGUCGAGGGGCAGCGGGAUUGAAGCUUGCUUCAAUUGCCGGCGACCGGCGCACGGGUGAGUAACGCGUAUCCAACCUUCCGUACACUCAGGGAUAGCCUUUCGAAAGAAAGAUUAAUACCUGAUGGUAUCUUAAGCACACAUGUAAUUAAGAUUAAAGAUUUAUCGGUGUACGAUGGGGAUGCGUUCCAUUAGGUAGUAGGCGGGGUAACGGCCUACCUAGCCAACGAUGGAUAGGGGUUCUGAGAGGAAGGUCCCCCACAUUGGAACUGAGACACGGUCCAAACUCCUACGGGAGGCAGCAGUGAGGAAUAUUGGUCAAUGGACGAGAGUCUGAACCAGCCAAGUAGCGUGAAGGAUGAAGGUCCUACGGAUUAUAAACUUCUUUUAUAAGGGAAUAAACCCUCCCACGUGUGGGAGCUUGUAUGUACCUUAUGAAUAAGCAUCGGCUAACUCCGUGCCAGCAGCCGCGGUAAUACGGAGGAUGCGAGCGUUAUCCGGAUUUAUUGGGUUUAAAGGGAGCGCAGACGGGUCGUUAAGUCAGCUGUGAAAGUUUGGGGCUCAACCUUAAAAUUGCAGUUGAUACUGGCGUCCUUGAGUGCGGUUGAGGUGUGCGGAAUUCGUGGUGUAGCGGUGAAAUGCUUAGAUAUCACGAAGAACUCCGAUUGCGAAGGCAGCACACUAAUCCGUAACUGACGUUCAUGCUCGAAAGUGUGGGUAUCAAACAGGAUUAGAUACCCUGGUAGUCCACACGGUAAACGAUGGAUACUCGCUGUUGGCGAUAUACUGUCAGCGGCUUAGCGAAAGCGUUAAGUAUCCCACCUGGGGAGUACGCCGGCAACGGUGAAACUCAAAGGAA
rnacentral:rRNA from 1 species